rnacentral:rRNA from 1 species
UGGGGAAUAUUGCACAAUGGGCGCAAGCCUGAUGCAGCCAUGCCGCGUGUGUGAAGAAGGCCUUCGGGUUGUAAAGCACUUUCAGCGAGGAGGAAGGUGGUGAGCUUAAUACGCUCAUCAAUUGACGUUACUCGCAGAAGAAGCACCGGCUAACUCCGUGCCAGCAGCCGCGGUAAUACGGAGGGUGCAAGCGUUAAUCGGAAUUACUGGGCGUAAAGCGCACGCAGGCGGUUUGUUAAGUCAGAUGUGAAAUCCCCGGGCUCAACCUGGGAACUGCAUUUGAAACUGGCAAGCUAGAGUCUCGUAGAGGGGGGUAGAAUUCCAGGUGUAGCGGUGAAAUGCGUAGAGAUCUGGAGGAAUACCGGUGGCGAAGGCGGCCCCCCUGGACGAAGACUGACGCUCAGGUGCGAAAGCGUGGGGCAGCAAACAGGAUUAGAUACCCUGGUAGUCCACGCUGUAAACGAUGUCGAUUUGGAGGUUGUGCCCUUGAGGCGUGGCUUCCGGAGCUAACGCGUUAAAUCGACCGCCUGGGGAGUACGGCCGCAAGGUUAAAAC